UACGGAGGGGGCUAGCGUUGUUCGGAAUUACUGGGCGUAAAGCGCGCGUAGGCGGAUCUGCAAGUCCCGUGUGAAAUCCCUCGGCUCAACUGAGGAAUGGCACGGGAAACUGACGGGGCUUGAGUUCGGGAGAGGGAAGUGGAAUUCCCGGUGUAGUGGUGAAAUGCGUAGAUAUCGGGAGGAACACCAGUGGCGAAGGCGACUUCCUGGCCUGUUCUUGACGCUGAGGCGACGGAAAGCUAGGGUAGCAAACGGG
rnacentral:rRNA from 1 species